rnacentral:rRNA from 1 species
UAGGUUAACGAGGCGAACCGGGGGAACUGAAACAUCUAAGUACCCCGAGGAAAAGAAAUCAACCGAGAUUCCCCCAGUAGCGGCGAGCGAACGGGGAGCAGCCCAGAGUCUGAAUCAGCUUGUGUGUUAGUGGAACGGUCUGGAAAGUCCGACGGUACAGGGUGAUAGUCCCGUACACCAAAAUGCACAGGCUGUGAACUCGAAGAGUAGGGCGGGACACGUGGUAUCCUGUCUGAAUAUGGGGGGACCAUCCUCCAAGGCUAAAUACUCCUGACUGACCGAUAGUGAACCAGUACCGUGAGGGAAAGGCGAAAAGAACCCCGGCGAGGGGAGUGAAAAAGAACCUGAAACCGUGUACGUACAAGCAGUGGGAGCACCUUCGGGUGUGACUGCGUACCUUUUGUAUAAUGGGUCAGCGACUUAUAUUCUGUAGCAAGGUUAACCGUAUAGGGGAGCCGCAGGGAAACCGAGUCUUAACUGGGCGUUAAGUUGCAGGGUAUAGACCCGAAACCCGGUGAUCUAGCCAUGGGCAGGUUGAAGGUUGGGUAACACUAACUGGAGGACCGAACCGACUAAUGUUGAAAAAUUAGCGGAUGACUUGUGGCUGGGGGUGAAAGGCCAAUCAAACCGGGAGAUAGCUGGUUCUCCCCGAAAGCUAUUUAGGUAGCGCCUCGUGAACUCAUCUUCGGGGGUAGAGCACUGUUUCGGCUAGGGGGUCAUCCCGACUUACCAACCCGAUGCAAACUACGAAUACCGAAGAAUGUUAUCACGGGAGACACACGGCGGGUGCUAACGUCCGUCGUGAAGAGGGAAACAACCCAGACCGCCAGCUAAGGUCCCAAAGUCAUGGUUAAGUGGGAAACGAUGUGGGAAGGCACAGACAGCCAGGAUGUUGGCUUAGAAGCAGCCAUCAUUUAAAGAAAGCGUAAUAGCUCACUGGUCGAGUCGGCCUGCGCGGAAGAUGUAACGGGGCUAAACCAUGCACCGAAGCUGCGGCAGCGACACUAUGUGUUGUUGGGUAGGGGAGCGUUCUGUAAGCCUGCGAAGGUGUGCUGUGAGGCAUGCUGGAGGUAUCAGAAGUGCGAAUGCUGACAUAAGUAACGAUAAAGCGGGUGAAAAGCCCGCUCGCCGGAAGACCAAGGGUUCCUGUCCAACGUUAAUCGGGGCAGGGUGAGUCGACCCCUAAGGCGAGGCCGAAAGGCGUAGUCGAUGGGAAACAGGUUAAUAUUCCUGUACUUGGUGUUACUGCGAAGGGGGGACGGAGAAGGCUAUGUUAGCCGGGCGACGGUUGUCCCGGUUUAAGCAUGUAGGCUGGUUGUCCAGGCAAAUCCGGAUAAUCAAGGCUGAGGUGUGAUGACGAGGCACUACGGUGCUGAAGUAACAAAUGCCCUGCUUCCAGGAAAAGCCUCUAAGCAUCAGGUAACAUUAAAUCGUACCCCAAACCGACACAGGUGGUCAGGUAGAGAAUACCAAGGCGCUUGAGAGAACUCGGGUGAAGGAACUAGGCAAAAUGGUGCCGUAACUUCGGGAGAAGGCACGCUGGUGUGUAGGUGAAGUCCCUGCGG